rnacentral:rRNA from 1 species
GUGAGGAAUAUUGCGCAAUGGAGGCAACUCUGACGCAGCCAUGCCGCGUGCAGGAAGAAGGCGCUACGCGUUGUAAACUGCUUUUAACCGGGAAGAAACCCCAGGACGUGUCCUGGGUUGACGGUACCGGAGGAAUAAGCACCGGCUAACUUCGUGCCAGCAGCCGCGGUAAUACGAAGGGUGCAAGCGUUAUCCGGAUUCAUUGGGCUUAAAGGGUGCGUAGGCGGAGCGUUAAGUCAGUGGUGAAAUCCUGCAGCUUAACUGUAGACUUGCCAUUGAUACUGGCGCUCUUGAGUGCGCUUGAAGUGGGCGGAAUGUGCCGUGUAGCGGUGAAAUGCUUAGAUAUGGCACAGCACACCAAUUGCGAAGGCAGCUCACUAAGGCGAUACUGACGCUGAGGCACGAAAGCGUGGGGAUCGAACAGGAUUAGAAACCCUGGUAGUCC